ACCGGCGCACGGGUGCGCACCGCGUAUGGACCUACCUUCUACAGGGGAAUAGCCCAGGGAAACUUGGAUUAAUGCCCCGUGGCCCGGCAUCGGUAAAGCCUUCGGGCGGUAGAAGAUGGCCAUGCGUCCCAUUAGCUUGUUGGUAAGGUAACGGCUUACCAAGGCUACGAUGGGUAGGGGCCCUGAGAGGGGGAUCCCCCACACUGGUACUGAGACACGGACCAGACUCCUACGGGAGGCAGCAGUGAGGAAUAUUGGACAAUGGAGGAGACUCUGAUCCAGCCAUGCCGCGUGCAGGAAGAAUGCCUAUGGGUAGUAAACUGCUUUUAUACGGGAAGAAAAAGGGCUACGUGUAGCCCACUGACGGUACCGUAAGAAUAAGGACCGGCUAACUCCGUGCCAGCAGCCGCGGUAAUACGGAGGGUCCGAGCGUUAUCCGGAAUUAUUGGGUUUAAAGGGUCCGUAGGCGGGCCGAUAAGUCAGGGGUGAAAGUCUGCCGCUCAACGGUAGAACUGCCUUUGAUACUGUCGGUCUUGAGUUAUAGUGAAGUUGCCGGAAUAUGUAGUGUAGCGGUGAAAUGCAUAGAUAUUACAUAGAUCACCGAUUGCGAAGGCAGUGACUAACUAUAUACUGACGCUGAUGGACGAAAGCGUGGGGAGCGACCAGAAUAGAUACCUUGGUAGUCCACGCCGU
rnacentral:rRNA from 1 species